GAAAGCCUGACGGAGCAACGCCGCGUGAGGGAGGAAGGCCUGUGGGUUGUAAACCUCUUUUCUCAGGGAAGAAGUUCUGACGGUACCUGAGGAAUCAGCAUCGGCUAACUCCGUGCCAGCAGCCGCGGUAAGACGGAGGAUGCAAGCGUUAUCCGGAAUUAUUGGGCGUAAAGCGUCCGUAGGCGGUUCAKAAAGUCUGCUGUUAAAGCUCACAGCUCAACUGUGAAUCGGCAGUGGAAACUUCUGGACUAGAGAGUGGUAGGGGUARAGGGAAUUCCUAGUGUAGCGGUGAAAUGCGUAGAUAUUAGGAAGAACACCAGUGGCGAAG
rnacentral:rRNA from 1 species